rnacentral:rRNA from 1 species
GACGAACGCUGGCGGCGUGCUUAACACAUGCAAGUCGAACGGUAAGGCCCUUCGGGGUACACGAGUGGCGAACGGGUGAGUAACACGUGGGUGAUCUGCCCUGCACUUCGGGAUAAGCCUGGGAAACUGGGUCUAAUACCGGAUAGGACCACUGCCUGCAUGGGUGGUGGUGGAAAGCUUUUGCGGUGUGGGAUGGGCCCGCGGCCUAUCAGCUUGUUGGUGGGGUGAUGGCCUACCAAGGCGACGACGGGUAGCCGGCCUGAGAGGGUGACCGGCCGCACUGGGACUGAGAUACGGCCCAGACUCGUAGUGGAGGCAGCAGUGUGGAGUAUUGCACAAUGGGCGUAAGCCUGAUGCAGCGACGCCGCGUGAGGUAUGACGGCCUUCGGGUUGUAGACCUCUUUCAGCACCGACGAAGCGCAAGUGACGGUAGGUGCAGAAGAAGGACCGGCCAACUACGUGCCAGCAGCCGCCGUAAUAC